GGGGCAGUAGCUCAGUUUGGUUUAGAGUGCCGGCCUGUCACGCCGGAGGUCGCGGGUUCGAGCCCCGUCUGCCCCGCAA
rnacentral:tRNA from 1 species